UGAGGAAUAUUGGUCAAUGGCCGGAAGGCUGAACCAGCCAAGCCGCGUGAAGGACGAAGGUGCCAAGCAUUGUAAACUUCUUUUGUCAAGGGACAAAAUCAGGCUCGAGAGCCUGACCGAGGGUACUUGAAGAAAAAGCAUCGGCUAACUCCGUGCC
rnacentral:rRNA from 1 species